AUUGAACGCUGGCGGCGUGCUUUACACAUGCAAGUCGAACGGAAACAGGCCUUCUUUUGCUGACGAUUGGGUGACGGGCGGGUAAUUAAUCGGAACGUACCCUGAGGUUGGGGAUAAGGCAACUAAAGCUGUGCUAAUACCGCAUCGGAUCGGAGCAUGAGAUCGGGGGAGCGGGCAGCAAAGUUUGGGCUGGCGGGUUUGGAGCGGCGGAUGUUGAGUUAGCUGGUGGGGUGGGUAAAUGCCUACCAAGGCGAGGAUCCGUGGCCUGUCUGAGAGGACGGCCAGCAGCACUGGGACUGAGCCACGGACAAGACUCCUAAGGGAGGCAGCAGUGGCGAAUGUUGGACAAUGGGCGCAAGUCUGGCACAGCAAUGCCGCGCGCGGGAAGAAGGCCUUCGGGUUGUAAACCGCUUUUGGCAGGAACGAAACGGUGUCCGCUAAUACCGAGCGUUAAUGACGGUACCUGCAGAAUAAGCACCGGCUAACUACGUG
rnacentral:rRNA from 1 species